GUUUGUCCGUUUAAGUUGUCUGUUUAAGGCACCCUGUAUAAAAUGACACAGCACGUGUUUGCGUUGUUCAGAGAGCCAGCCAUUAUGAAAUUGCCAGAGCACGUAUCACGAAAUUAUCCUGGUAAAUCGGCCAGUGACAGUAAUUAUGUCACCGUCAGGCUGUGUCUAUCUCAAUUAUCCAGUUACAUUUCCAAAUUUUCACUCGGUUUAAUGAUACUGCUUAAAUUUCACCGUUAAACGCGUGUCGUGUCCGCACCCCCAUCUCUUUCGUGCCUUCCAGCAGUUUCAGCGAAUCGAUGCGAACCGUGAUAAUUAACUUGCCUCUCUGCUUCUCGCGAUUUUACCAGGAAACGAAGAUAAAACGUAUGAGCGAAGAAACGUGAAACUUCACCAUAAUAUAUACGCCGAAGACUGCAUCCAAAUGACUUUUAUAGAUUAUAUAAGGUAUUUCGCAAAAUAUAUUCGUAUCAAAAACUAACAAUGAGUGUGAUUUUUUAUAAAUAAAUAAAUUGAAAAUACAAAAGAUAUAAAAACAUUACUCAUUGAUAUCGCGGUAAACGCUCAUAAUUUAAUUCUUAAAAUUCACG
rnacentral:misc_RNA from 1 species